UUCCGUUGGGGGGUACCUGCGGAGGGAUCAUUACACAAAUAUGAAGGCGGGCUGGAACCUCUCGGGGUUACAGCCUUGCUGAAUUAUUCACCCUUGUCUUUUGCGUACUUCUUGUUUCCUUGGUGGGUUCGCCCACCACUAGGACAAACAUAAACCUUUUGUAAUUGCAAUCAGCGUCAGUAACAAAUUAAUAAUUACAACUUUCAACAACGGAUCUCUUGGUUCUGGCAUCGAUGAAGAACGCAGCGAAAUGCGAUAAGUAGUGUGAAUUGCAGAAUUCAGUGAAUCAUCGAAUCUUUGAACGCACAUUGCGCCCUUUGGUAUUCCAAAGGGCAUGCCUGUUCGAGCGUCAUUUGUACCCUCAAGCUUUGCUUGGUGUUGGGCGUCUUGUCUCUAGCUUUGCUGGAGACUCGCCUUAAAGUAAUUGGCAGCCGGCCUACUGGUUUCGGAGCGCAGCACAAGUCGCACUCUCUAUCAGCAAAGGUCUAGCAUCCAUUAAGCCUUUUUUUCAACUUUGACCUCGGAUCAGGUAGUUACCCAGUUCCCC
rnacentral:rRNA from 1 species